UUUUUAUGAUGAUAAAAUUUGUCAAUGCAAGUAGGGACAUGAGAAUAUUAAAUAUGUUCGUCUUUAAUUUGUCUGAAAAAA
rfam:Plasmodium ovale wallikeri genome assembly, contig: contig187